rnacentral:rRNA from 1 species
CCUACGGGCGGCAGCAGUGAGGAAUAUUGGUCAAUGGGCGGGAGCCUGAACCAGCCAAGUCGCGUGAGGGACGACGGUCCUAUGGAUUGUAAACUUCUUUUGUCGGGGAACAAAGGCGUCCACGGGUGGGCGGAUGAGUGUACCCGAAGAAAAAGCAUCGGCUAACUCCGUGCCAGCAGCCGCGGUAAUACGGGGGAUGCGAGCGUUAUCCGGAUUUAUUGGGUUUAAGGGGUGCGUAGGCGGACAGUCAAGUCAGCGGGAAAAGUGCGGUGCUAAACGCCGUAAAGCCGUUGAAACUGGCAGUCUUGAGUGGGCGAGAGGUAUGCGGAAUGCGUGGUGUAGCGGUGAAAGGCAUAGAUAUCACGAAGAACUCCGAUUGCGAAGGCAGCAUACCGGCGCCCUACUGACGCUGAGGCACGAAAGCGUGGGUAUCGAACAGGAUUAGAUACCCCUGUAGUC